AACGGACGCUGGCGGCAGGCCUAACACAUGCAAGUCGAACGCCCUAGCAAUAGGGAGUGGCAGACGGGUGAGUAACACGUGGGAACGUGCCCUUCGGUUCGGAAUAACUCAGGGAAACUUGAGCUAAUACCGGAUACGUGCGAGAGCAGAAAGAUUUAUCGCCGAAGGAUCGGCCCGCGUCCGAUUAGCUAGUUGGUGAGGUAAUGGCUCACCAAGGCGACGAUCGGUAGCUGGUCUGAGAGGAUGACCAGCCACACUGGGACUGAGAUACGGCCCAGACUCCUACGGGAGGCAGCAGUGGGGAAUAUUGCACAAUGGGCGCAAGCCUGAUGCAGCGACGCCGCGUGAGGGAUGACGGCCUUCGGGUUGUAAACCUCUUUUGCCAGGGACGAUAAUGACGGUACCUGGAGAAUAAGCCCCGGCAAACUUCGUGCCAGCAGCCGCGGUAA
rnacentral:rRNA from 1 species